CGCGUAGGCGGAUAGUUUAGUCAGAGGUGAAAGCCCCAGGGCUCAACCUUGGAAAUGCCUUUGAUACUGGCUAUCUUGAGUACGGGAGAGGUGUGUGGAACUCCGAGUGUAGAGGUGAAAUUCGUAGAUAUUCGGAAGAACACCGGUGGCGAAGGCGACACACUGGCCCGUUACUGACGCUGAGGCGCGAAAGCGUGGGGAGCAAAACA
rnacentral:rRNA from 1 species